rnacentral:rRNA from 1 species
UAAAAUUUAUUUAAUGAUUUUAAAUAUCUCGAAAAUAAGGGAGCUAAAUUUAUAUUAUUUUUUUUGUAGCAAUAAAAUUAUAAAUAUAGAUUUAGAAAUUAAAUGUUAAACGAACUUAUUAAUAUCUAGUUUUUUUAGAAAUAAAUUUAAUUUAGAUAUAAUUAUUUUAGUAAAUUAAAUUUUAUUUUAAUUUAUUAAUUUUUAUAUUAAAAAUUUAUGGGAUAAUCUAUAAAUUUAAGAUAAAAAUUUAAUUUUAAUUUUUAAUGUUAUAGAGAUAAUAUUUUUCUUUAAUUUUAAUAAUUUAAUAAUUUAAUAUUUAUAAAUUAAUAAUGAUUUAAAUUUAUAUUUUAUUUUUCUAUAAAAAUUUAUAUUUUAAUUAAUAAAAUAUAGAAAUAAUGAUUAGAUUAGUAAUAAAGUUAUAUUUUAUAAUGAUAUUUUGUAUUAUAUAAUUUAAAGGAAUUCGGCAAAUAUAUUAUUCACCUGUUUAUCAAAAACAUGUCCUGUUGAUUAUAAUUUUAGGUCGAUCUGCUCAAUGAAUUAUUUUAAAUAGCUGCAGUAUGUUGACUGUACAAAGGUAGCAUAAUAAAUUGUCUUUUAAUUGAAGAAUUGUAUGAAAGAAUUAAUGAAAUAAUAACUGUCUCUAAAUUAUUAAAUGAAUUUAAAUUUUUAGUUAAAAUUCUAAAAUUUAAUUAUGGGACGAUAAGACCCUAUAGAAUUUAAUUUAAUUUUUAAAUUUAUUUAUAAUUUUAAUAAAUAUAUUUAAGAUUAAAUUUGAUUGGGAGGAUUGGUAAAUUUAAUAAACUUUAUUUAAGAUUUAAUUUUGAUAUAAAGAUAAUUUUUUGAAUUAUAAAUUGUAAUUAAAAGAAUAAAUUACCUUAGGGAUAACAGCGUAAUAUC